GAGGACCUCGCGCGGUUGACGCUCGCGGCGUUCGAGGCGCCGCUGCGGCUCGACGAGCACCGCGUCGGGCUGUCGCC
rnacentral:tRNA from 1 species